rnacentral:rRNA from 1 species
UACGGAGGGUGCGAGCGUUGUCCGGAAUCACUGGGCGUAAAGGGCGCGUAGGCGGCUUGGGAAGUCCGUGGUGAAAGCUCGUGGCUCAACUGCGAGUCGGCCAUGGAUACUCCUAAGCUCGAGCACUGUAGAGGCAGGUGGAAUUCCGGGUGUAGCGGUGGAAUGCGUAGAGAUCGGGAAGAACAUCGGUGGCGAAGGCGGCCUGCUGGGCUGUUGCUGACGCUGAGGCGCGAAAGCUAGGGGAGCAAACAGG